CAGGUUUGGUUUGCCUCUAUAUAUUACCGAGGCUUAAUCCCUGCAGAACGGCUCCGACGCCGGAACCAGCUGUGCAACAAGAAAACAAUCUGCGAAGAAGGUACAUGCUGCCAGCAAACUUCUCGCUCCCGUAGACGCUGUAAACCACUCGGCAAGCGUGGAGAUCCUUGUUCACCAAGGUCUCUAAGUAAUGUGUACCUCGGCAUGUGUCCCUGUGGUGUAAACCAAGGAACAUGUGAAGAUGGCUAUUGCACAUAAUCGGUGUUCUGGAGGAGUCAUUACUGCGUAGUCUUGUGAAAAUAAAUUGGUUUUGAUUUUUAG